rnacentral:rRNA from 1 species
AACGAACGCUGGCGGCAUGCCUAACACAUGCAAGUCGAACGAGACCUUCGGGUCUAGCGGCGCACGGGUGCGUAACGCGUGGGAACCUGCCCUUCGGUUCGGAAUAACUCCCCGAAAGGGGUGCUAAUACCGGAUACUGUCUUCGGAGCAAAGAUUUAUCGCCUUUGGAUGGGCCCGCGUGGGAUUAGCUAGUUGGUAGGGUAAAAGCCUACCAAGGCGACGAUCAAUAGCUGGUCUGAGAGGAUGAUCAGCCACACUGGGACUGAGACACGGCCCAGACUCCUACGGGAGGCAGCAGUGGGGAAUAUUGGACAAUGGGCGAAAGCCUGAUCCAGCAAUGCCGCGUGAGUGAUGAAGGCCUUAGGGUUGUAAAGCUCUUUUGCCCGGGAUGAUAAUGACAGUACCGGGAGAAUAAGCUCCGGCUAACUCCGUG